rnacentral:rRNA from 1 species
GAAAGGCGCUUUUGCGUCACUGAUGGAUGGACCCGCGGUGCAUUAGCUAGUUGGUGAGGUAACGGCUCACCAAGGGCACGAUGCAUAGCCGACCUGAGAGGGUGAUCGCCCACACUGGGACUGAGACACGGCCCAGACUCCUACGGGAGGCAGCAGUAGGGAAUCUUCGGCAAUGGACGAAAGUCUGACCGAGCAACGCCGCGUGAGUGAAGAAGGUUUUCGGAUCGUAAAACUCUGUUGUUAGAGAAGAACAAGGAUGAGAGUAGAACGUUCAUCCCUUGACGGUAUCUAACCAGAAAGCCACGGCUAACUACGUGCCAGCAGCCGCGGUAAUACGUAGGUGGCAAGCGUUGUCCGGAUUUAUUGGGCGUAAAGCGAGCGCAGGCGGUUUCUUAAGUCUGAUGUGAAAGCCCCCGGCUCAACCGGGGAAGGUCAUUGGAAACUGGGAGACUUGAGUGCAGAAGAGGAGAGUGGAAUUCCAUGUGUAGCGGUGAAAUGCGUAGAUAUAUGGAGGAACACCAGUGGCGAAGGCGGCUCUCUGGUCUGUAACUGACGCUGAGGCUCGAAAGCGUGGGGAGCGAACAGGAUUAGAUACCCUGGUAGUCCACGCCGUAAACGAUGAGUGCUAAGUGUUGGAGGGUUUCCGCCCUUCA